rnacentral:rRNA from 1 species
GAUGGCGACCGGCGAACGGGUGCGUAACGCGUAUGCAACCUACCUUUUACUAGAGAAUAGCCAAGAGAAAUUUUGAUUAAUGCUCUAUACACUUUAAGACUCUCAUGAGUUUAAAAGAAAAGCUCCGGCGGUAAAAGAUGGGCAUGCGUCCUAUUAGCUUGUAGGUGAGGUAACGGCUCACCUAAGCUCCGAUAGGUAGGGGUCCUGAGAGGGAGACCCCCCACACUGGUACUGAGACACGGACCAGACUUCUACGGAAGGCAGCAGUAAGGAAUAUUGGACAAUGGAGGCAACUCUGAUCCAGCCAUGCCGCGUGAAGGAAGACGGCCCUAUGGGUUGUAAACUUCUUUUGUACAGGAAGAAAUCUUUCCACGUGUGGAAAGUUGACGGUACUGUAAGAAUAAGGAUCGGCUAACUCCGUGCCAGCAGCCGCGGUAAUACGGAGGAUCCAAGCGUUAUCCGGAAUUAUUGGGUUUAAAGGGUCCGCAGGCUGUUUGUUAAGUCAGAGGUGAAAUCCUACCGCUCAACGGUAGAACUGCCUUUGAUACUGGCAAACUUGAGUUAUUGUGAAGUAAUUAGAAUGUGUAGUGUAGCGGUGAAAUGCAUAGAUAUUACACAGAAUACCGAUUGCGAAAGCAGAUUACUAACAAUUAACUGACGCUGAGGGACGAAAGCGUGGGUAGCGAACAGGAUUAGAUACCCUGGUAGUCCACGCCGUAAACGAUGGUCACUAGCUGUUUGAUGUACAUUGGUACAUUGAGUGGCUAAGCGAAAGUGAUAA